GAAUCUUCCGCAAUGCACGAAAGUGUGACGGAGCAAUGCCGCGUGCAGGAUGAAGCCCCUCGGGGUGUAAACUGCUGUCAGGGUUUAGGAACACAAUGACCAGACCCAAAGGAAGAGGCGACUAACUCUGUGCCAGCAGUCGCGGUAAUACAGAGGCCUCGAGCGUUAAUCGGAAUCACUGGGCUUAAAGCGUACGUAGGCGGGCGCGCAGGCAUCUUGUGAAAUCCCACGGCUUAACCGUGGAACGGCUUGGUGAACCGCGCGUCUAGAGUCAGGUAGGGGCCGCCGGAACGAUAGGUGGAGCGGUGAAAUGCGUUGAUAUCUAUCGGAACGCCAAAGGUGAAGACAGGCGGCUGGGCCUGCACUGACGCUGAGGUACGAAAGCGUGGGGAGCAAACGGG
rnacentral:rRNA from 1 species